rnacentral:tRNA from 1 species
CGGGGCGUGGCGCAGUCUGGUAGCGUACUUGAAUGGGGUUCAAGUGGUCGCUGGUUCGAAUCCAGUCGCCCCGACCA